CGGAAAAUAAUUUAAAAAGAAUGUUGGCUUUGGGGGUCAGUAGUGAGGGUUUGAGUCCUUCUUUUCCGA
rnacentral:tRNA from 1 species